GAUGAACGCUAGCUACAGGCUUAACACAUGCAAGUCGAGGGGUAACGAGAGGAAAGCUUGCUUUCCUUGUCGACGUCCGGCGCACGGGUGAGUAACGCGUAUCCAACCUGCCCCCAACUAGGGAAUAACCUUGCGAAAGUAAGACUAAUACCCUAUAAUUUCCUCAGAUGUCAUCUGACGAGGAAUAAAGAUUUAUCGGUUGUGGAUGGGGAUGCGUCUGAUUAGCUUGUUGGCGGGGUAACGGCCCACCAAGGCAACGAUCAGUAGGGGUUCUGAGAGGAAGGUCCCCCACAUUGGAACUGAGACACGGUCCAAACUCCUACGGGAGGCAGCAGUGAGGAAUAUUGGUCAAUGGGCGGAAGCCUGAACCAGCCAAGUAGCGUGCAGGAUGACGGCCCUAUGGGUUGUAAACUGCUUUUAUACAGGAAUAAAGUUAGCCACGUGUGGUUAUUUGUAGGUACUGUAUGAAUAAGGGCCGGCUAAUUCCGUGCCAGCCGCCGCUGUAA
rnacentral:rRNA from 1 species